rnacentral:rRNA from 1 species
AUUGAACGCUGGCGGCAUGCCUUACACAUGCAAGUCGAACGGUAACGCGGGGCAACCUGGCGACGAGUGGCGAACGGGUGAGUAAUGUAUCGGAACGUGCCCAGGUGUGGGGGAUAACUGCUCGAAAGAGCAGCUAAUACCGCAUACGACCUGAGGGUGAAAGCGGGGGAUCGCAAGACCUCGCGCAAUUGGAGCGGCCGAUAUCAGAUUAGGUAGUUGGUGGGGUAAAGGCUCACCAAGCCAACGAUCUGUAGCUGGUCUGAGAGGACGACCAGCCACACUGGGACUGAGACACGGCCCAGACUCCUACGGGAGGCAGCAGUGGGGAAUUUUGGACAAUGGGCGCAAGUCUGAUCCAGCCACGCCGCGUGCGGGAAGAAGGCCUUCGGGUUGUAAACCGCUUUUGUCAGGGAAGAAACGCUCUGGGUUAAUACCUCGGGGUAAUGACGGUACCUGAAGAAUAAGCACCGGCUAACUACGUGCCAGCCGCCGCCGUAACAC